UCCCUGAUGGUCUAGUGGUUAAGACUCUUCCUUUCCACUGCAGGGGGCACAGGUUCAAUUCCUGGUCAGGAAA
rnacentral:tRNA from 1 species